rnacentral:rRNA from 1 species
UCGAGGAUCUUCGGCAAUGGGCGCAAGCCUGACCGAGCGACGCCGCGUGCGGGAUGAAGGCCUUCGGGUUGUAAACCGCUGUCAGUGAGGAGGAAAUGCUCGGUGGGUACUCCCAUCAGUUUGACCUAUUCGCAGAGGAAGUGUGGGCUAAGCUCGUGCCAGCAGCCGCGGUAAGACGAGCCACACUAACGUUAUUCGGAAUUACUGGGCUUAAAGGGUGCGUAGGCGGUGCGGAAAGUUGGGUGUGAAAUACCUCAGCUUAACUGAGGAAUUGCGCCCAAAACUACCGUGCUUGAGGAAGACAGAGGUGAGCGGAACUUAGGGUGGAGCGGUGAAAUGCGUUGAUAUCCUAAGGAACACCGGUGGCGAAGGCGGCUCACUGGGUCUUAUCUGACGCUGAGGCACGAAAGCCAGGGUAGCGAACGGGAUUAGAUACCCCCGUAGUCC